rnacentral:rRNA from 1 species
AAUGAACGCUGGCGGCAGGCCUAAAACAUGCAAGUCGAACGCCCUAGCAAUAGGGAGUGGCGCACGGGUGAGUAACAAGUGGGAGUAUGCCUUUUGGUACGGAACAACGUUUGGAAACGAACGCUAAUACCGUAUGGUCCCUCCGGGGUAAAGAUUUAUCGCCAAAAGAUUAGCCCGCACUAGAUUAGCUAGUUGGUAAGGUAAUGGCUUACCAAGGCGACGAUCUAUAGCUGUUCUGAGAGGAAGAUCAGCCACACUGGGACUGAGACACGGCCCAGACUCCUACGGGAGGCAGCAGUUAGGAAUAUUGGACAAUGGGCGCAAGCCUGAUCCAGCCAUGCCGCGUGAGUGAUGAAGGCCCUCGGGUUGUAAAGCUCUUUAGCCGACGAAUAUAAUGACUGUAGUCGGAGAAUAAGCCCCGGCUAACUUCGUGCCAGCCGCCGCAGUAACAC